rnacentral:rRNA from 1 species
GAUGAACGCUAGCGGCAGGCUUAAUACAUGCAAGUCGUGGGGCAGCAGGUUUGUAGCAAUACAGAUGCUGGCGACCGGCAAACGGGUGCGGAACACGUACAGAACCUUCCUUUGAGCGGGGAAUAGCCCAGAGAAAUUUGGAUUAAUACCCCAUAGUAUAAUGAAGUGGCAUCACUUUAUUAUUAAAGAUUUAUCACUCGAAGAUGGCUGUGCGGCUGAUUAGGUAGUUGGCGGGGUAAAGGCCCACCAAGACGAUGAUCAUUAGGGGAACUGAGAGGUUGACUCCCCCACACUGGCACUGAGAUACGGGCCAACUCCUACGGGAGGCAGCAGUAGGGAAUAUUGGACAAUGGGUGCAAGCCUGAUCCAGCCAUGCCGCGUGCAGGAAGAAAGCCUUCUGGGUUGUAAACUGCUUUUGCCGAGGGGAUAAAACACUUUGCGAAGUGGAUUGAAGGUACCUGGUGAAUAAGCCACGGCUAACUACGUGC